rnacentral:rRNA from 1 species
GACGAACGCUGGCGGCGUGCUUAACACAUGCAAGUCGAACGGAAAGGCCCUUCGGGGUGCUCGAGUGGCGAACGGGUGAGUAACACGUGGGUGAUCUGCCCUGCACUUUGGGAUAAGCCUGGGAAACUGGGUCUAAUACCGAAUACACCCUGCUGGUCGCAUGGCCUGGUGGGGGAAAGCUUUUGCGGUGUGGGAUGGGCCCGCGGCCUAUCAGCUUGUUGGUGGGGUUAUGGCCUACCAAGGCGACGACGGGUAGCCGGCCUGAGAGGGUGACCGGCCACACUGGGACUGAGAUACGGCCCAGACUCCUACGGGAGGCAGCAGUGGGGAAUAUUGCACAAUGGGCGCAAGCCUGAUGCAGCGACGCCGCGUGAGGGAUGACGGCCUUCGGGUUGUAAACCUCUUUCAGUAGGGACGAAGCGCAAGUGACGGUACCUAUAGAAGAAGGACCGGCCAACUACGUGCCAGCAGCCGCGGUAAUACGUAGGGUCCGAGCGUUGUCCGGAAUUACUGGGCGUAAAGAGCUCGUANGUGGUUUGUCGCGUUGUUCGUGAAAACUCACAGCUCAACUGUGGGCGUGCGGGCGAUACGGGCAGACUGGAGUACUGCAGGGGAGACUGGAAUUCCUGGUGUAGCGGUGGAAUGCGCAGAUAUCAGGAGGAACACCGGUGGCGAAGGCGGGUCUCUGGGCAGUAACUGACGCUGAGGAGCGAAAGCGUGGGGAGCGAACAGGAUUAGAUACCCUGGUAGUCCACGCCGUAAACGGUGGGUACUAGGUGUGGGUUUCCUUCCUUGGGAUCCGUGCCGUAGCUAACGCAUUAAGUACCCCGCCUGGGGAGUACGGCCGCAAGGCUAAAACUCAAAGAAAUUGACGGGGGCCCGCACAAGCGGCGGAGCAUGUGGAUUAAUUCGAUGCAACGCGAAGAACCUUACCUGGGUUUGACAUGCACAGGACGCUGGUAGAGAUAUCAGUUCCCUUGUGGCCUGUGUGCAGGUGGUGCAUGGCUGUCGUCAGCUCGUGUCGUGAGAUGUUGGGUUAAGUCCCGCAACGAGCGCAACCCUUAUCUUAUGUUGCCAGCACGUUAUGGUGGGGACUCGUGAGAGACUGCCGGGGUCAACUCGGAGGAAGGUGGGGAUGACGUCAAGUCAUCAUGCCCCUUAUGUCCAGGGCUUCACACAUGCUACAAUGGCCGGUACAAAGGGCUGCGAUGCCGUGAGGUGGAGCGAAUCCUUUCAAAGCCGGUCUCAGUUCGGAUCGGGGUCUGCAACUCGACCCCGUGAAGUCGGAGUCGCUAGUAAUCGCAGAUCAGCAACGCUGCGGUGAAUACGUUCCCGGGCCU